CCAAGGUCCACUAAGCUCCCAGCCCCCAGCAACCAACCCCACCGGCUCUCCUCCUCUGCUCUCCUCCCGGCGAAACAUGCUUUGCGGCGGCUUGGCCGGCGCUUGAAUCGCCGGCGACGCAGCGAUGGAAGAAGCCGGGCUCGAGUUCUUACUUGAUGCCUUAGACCGGGUUUCCCUAAGGGAAGAAAGCGAAUCCGGGAAGGCAAGAUGAACGUAAUGAUGCUUCUGGGUGCGGGCAACAUGUUGGAGGAGAUACAGCUGCUGAGCCAAACUGGGGCGAACGACGGCGGCGAGAAUCUAUCGCCCACUGCAUCAGCGUGAUCUACUGGCAGGGUUAACCCAGAGGCACCUGGGUGGACAAAAAGGUUAUGCCUGUGGAGCACACCUUCGGAUAGGAUGCCUUGCCCUUCACGUAUGAGUGCAUUUGAGCAGACAAUCCAGAAAUAUGCCGAAGAGCCAACAAGAAGCGUAAUAUUGCCAGAACUGGGGCUGGGUUUUGCUUCGCUGGGUGAGGUAUAUGACUUCUAAAAUCUGUAUUCAGGGGAGAUUGGAUUUGGAAUUCGGUAUGGCAAAAGCAGACUAAAUGCUGAGGAGGACGAAGUCAAUGCUGAAAAUCAUCUAUGGCUGCUCGGUGUGUCCUGAAACCUGCCUGAUUUUCACAUUAUACCUUUGCUGGCACAAGAUAAGAACAUGAUCUGCUAUAUGGUUGUGAUUCAGAGAACUGUUUUUUUUUGUGUAAUCUGCGUGCAGGGGAAGCCAGAAGCUGAGAACAGCAGAUCUUGCAGUUGUGAAUGCCUUGUAUUGGUGCGGCUUUUGUGGGCAGCUGAUAGCAUCUGGUACAUCACAGAGCACCGUGAGGGACAAAACCACUCCAUGUCUCUGACGAUGGGGGAAAAGAUGCACUGGCCAUCACACAAGCACAUUGACGUGUAUACUAACGAUUUGAUCAAAAACAACUUAGGGAAAACAAUGUCAGUCUUGGUAAAGUGUACAACCUCAUAUGGAGUUUUAUCGGGACUGUCAAGAAUGUGCCGUUCACAAAAAGAAUGCUCAGGAACAUAUGUGGUAAGAUGAGUCGCGAGCAAGCUGAUGAUUUGUGAGAAAAAUCUUGGAGGUUUUGCAGACAUAUUGGCUGAUGACCCAGGCUUCACAUACCAUGUGCUGGCAAAAAGCGAUAGCAAAGUAAAGAAUUUGAUGUGGACAAAUGGGAGUAGUCAGAUGCAGUAGCAGUUCUUUGGGGAUUUGGUAACAUUCAACAUGACCUACAGAACCAACUUACAUGACAUGCCUUUUGGUCUAUUUGUUGGGGUAAACAAUCAUUUCCAGAUCAUUAUCCUAGCACGUGUCCUGAUGAGAGAUGAGCAGGUUGAAAGUUUUGAAUUGGUUUUCGCUGAGUUCCUGUGGAUGAUGGGAGGUCCUGCACCUCGAACAAUACUAACAGGUAAACAUAGCUUCCCAAGUAGUAAAGCAUUUUGCAAAAAAUGCACUCUGGUCUAACUAUGAUGUGCACUUUGUACAUACCAAAAAAGAGCUAUGGAGGUGGCGAUCCGCAAGGUGUACCUUGAUAUUGUGCACCGGUGGUGCAAGUGGCACGUGCUAGAGAAGGCGAAAGAAACCUUGGGGCCACUGUACAGGAAAAAGAAUGACUUCCAGGCAGAGUUCCAUAAGGUUGUGAAUCACAUGCUAACUAAAGUUGAGUUUGAGACAGCUUGGAACAUGCUGGUUGAUAAGUAUAAUUUGAGAAACCAUCCUUACAUGAACCAGAUCUAUGAAAUACGCCCGAAGUGGACAAAACCAUACUUCAAAGGGGUGUCUGUGGCAAAAUGACAAGUACACACGGCAUUGAGAGUGCAAACCACAUGUUCAAGUCUUACAUGCCGCCUGCGAGCCCAAUGCACAUUUUCGUGAGAUAGUACAUGAGACUUCAGUUUUGACCGUGAGCGGGAAGAAAGUUACGAGGAGAAGAGGACUAUGAUUGGUGAGCUUGUUAGGAGAAUAGAUCUGGCAAUAUAGCGGCAUGCGAGCAAAAUAUACACAAGGGCAAUGUUUGAAUAGUUCGGCUGUCUGCUAAUUGAGGGUACAUCAUAUAACGUUAUGGAGGUUGAGAAGAUGAGGAAAUGUGUGUCAACACACAAUAAUCCAUCAAAACGCAAUAAGUGGAGUGGGGUUGUUUAUGAGGUAAUCAUCACAGAGGACGGGUCAGAGUUCAUUUGUGAGUGUGGUCAGUUUGAGCACAUGGGGAUGCUAUGCUGCCACGUGUUGCGGGUAAUAGAUAUGCUUCACCUGGAGGAAAUACCGCUGAAACACAUAAUGAAGCGGUGGAUGAGAGAUGAAAGGGGCAUACUUCUUGAGCACCUAUCCCACUACCAGAAGGACAAUGCGGUAAACAUGUCUUUCACUUGCAGGCAUUCGACUUUGUACGCGCAAGCUAUGGAAUUUGUGCGGAUGGGGUAUGCCAGCGCUGAAUUUUUCCACCACAUGUCAGCUGGUCUGAAAGCCUUGAUUGCUAGUGGGGUGCCUUUCAGUGAGCAUUUGCUCCACGCUUGUUCCUCUUAGUUGAACGGUUGUUGCAUUUACAGUGUUGUUCAGAAAAAUGUGUUGUUGUACAACAAUAAAUUGUCCGUGUUGAGUGUUUUUGAAAAUACAGCGUUGUAGAAAUGUAUGGAAAAUUUGCUCUGGCAUGCCUGAUGUGGACUAGCGUCCAUGAUAUUGUUGUGAACACACCUGUCAUUUGUUGGUGCUGGCCAUGAUGUCCAACCUCUCCUGCUUAGCCAGUGUGUGCACCAUGGGUUUCAAAUUUUGAA